AUUGAACGCUAGCGGGAUGCUUUACACAUGCAAGUCGAACGAGUGGCGGACGGGUGAGUAAGAUAUCGGAACGUGCCCAGUAGCGGGGGAUAACUACUCGAAAGAAUGGCUAAUAACGCCUACUAUUGGAGCGGCCGAUAUCGGAUUAGCUAGUUGGUGGGGUAAAGGCUCACCAAGGCAACGAUCCGUAGCUGGUUUGAGAGGACGACCAGCCACACUGGGACUGAGACACGGUCCAGACUCCUACGGGAGGCAGCAGUGGGGAAUUUUGGACAAUGGGGGAAACCCUGAUCCAGCCAUCCCGCGUGUAUGAGAAGGCCUUCGGGUUGUAAAGCACUUUUAGUAGAGAAGCGGUACCUGCAGAAUAAGCACCGGCUAACUACGUGCCAGCAGCCGCGGUAAUUC
rnacentral:rRNA from 1 species